UUAACAGCCCCCAAAGCCAAAGUCCGCUGUUUCAUCAACAAAGCAGGUUCGGUGAGGGCAUGUGACACAUAAGCAUCCCCCACACUGCUCAAUCAAUAUGCCUCAACCCUGACCUGAAAGAGUAUCUCUAAGGGGAAAGAUAUUUGUUAAAUUUCUUUUCCAAUUAAUUUGACAGCUCU
rnacentral:sRNA from 1 species